GCCACCUUAGCUCAGUCGGCAGAGCAUCUCAUUCGUAACGAGAAGGUCCCCGGUUCGAUCCCGGGAGGUGGCU
rnacentral:tRNA from 1 species